rnacentral:snRNA from 1 species
AUCACAUUGGGUGCUCACUACUAAAAUUGGAACAAUACAGAGAAGAUUAGCAUGGCCCCGUGCAAGGAUGACAUGCAAAUUCAUGAAGCGUUCUAUAUUUUC